rnacentral:rRNA from 1 species
GAGAAAGUAAGCAAGGGCAGACGGUGGAUGCCUUGGCUCUCGGAGGCGACGAAGGACGUGAUAAGCUGCGAAAAGCUCGGGGGAGGCGCAAAUAGCCCUUGAUCCCGGGAUAUCCGAAUGGGGCAACCCGGCAGGCUGAAGGCCUGCCAUCCCGUAAGGGAGGCGAACGUGGGGAACUGAAACAUCUAAGUACCCAUAGGAGGAGAAAAUAAACAAUGAUUCCGUAAGUAGUGGCGAGCGAACACGGAAGAGCCCAAACCCNNNNNNNNNNUUCCGUAAGUAGUGGCGAGCGAACACGGAAGAGCCCAAACCCAUGUCGUCUAGGCGACACGGGGGUUGUAGGACCACGACGUGGCAAGAUAGAGUCAAGUGGAACGCCUUGGAAAAGGCGACCGUAGAGGGUGAUAGUCCCGUACACGACUGACGAUUGAAGCCUAGUGGCAUCCUGAGUAGCGCGGGGCACGAGAAAUCUUGCGUGAAAC